rnacentral:tRNA from 1 species
GCCGGUGUAGCUCAGUCGGUAGAGCAACUGAUUCGUAAUCAGUAGGUCAUCGG